rnacentral:rRNA from 1 species
GGACGAACGCUGGCGGCGUGCUUAACACAUGCAAGUCGAACGGUGAACCACUUUGGUGGGGAUCAGUGGCGAACGGGUGAGUAACACGUGAGCAACCUGCCCCUGGCUCUGGGAUAACUCCGGGAAACCGGGGCUAAUACCGGAUAUGACACCCUUCUGCAUGGUGGGGUGUGGAAAGAUUCAUCGGCUGGGGAUGGGCUCGCGGCCUAUCAGCUUGUUGGUGGGGUAAUGGCCUACCAAGGCGACGACGGGUAGCCGGCCUGAGAGGGCGACCGGCCACACUGGGACUGAGACACGGCCCAGACUCCUACGGGAGGCAGCAGUGGGGAAUAUUGCGCAAUGGGCGAAAGCCUGACGCAGCAACGCCGCGUGGGGGAUGAAGGCUUUCGGGUCGUAAAGCUCUGUCAAUGGGAAAGAAGUGUAUUGAGGCUAAUAUCCUCGAUACUUGACGGUACCCAUAAAGGAAGCACCGGCUAACUCCGUGCCAGCAGCCGCGGUAAUACGGGGGGUGCAAGCGUUGUUCGGAAUUAUUGGGCGUAAAGCGCGUGUAGGCGGUUUGUUAAGUCUGUUGUGAAAGCCCUGGGCUCAACCCAGGAAGUGCACUGGAUACUGGCAGACUUGAAUACGGGAGAGGGUAGUGGAAUUCCUGGUGUAGGAGUGAAAUCCGUAGAUAUUAGGAGGAACACCGGUGGCGAAGGCGGCUGCCUGGACCGAUAUUGACGCUGAGACGCGAAAGCGUGGGUAGCAAACAGGAUUAGAUACCCUGGUAGUCCACGCCGUAAACGAUGAGAACUAGGUGUUGCGGGUAUUGACCCCUGCAGUGCCGCAGCUAACG